rnacentral:rRNA from 1 species
AGUGAACGCUGGCGGCAGGCCUAACACAUGCAAGUCGAGCGGCAGCGGGUUCCCGCGAGGGGAUGCCGGCGAGCGGCGGACGGGUGAGGAACACAUCGGAAUCUGCCUGGUUGUGGGGGAUAACGUAGGGAAACUUACGCUAAUACCGCAUGAGACCCUGAGUCGACGGACUGGGGGUGAAAGUGAGGGACCUUCGGGCCUCACGCGACCAGAUGAGCCGAUGUCGGAUUAGCUAGUUGGCGGGGGUAACGGCCCGCCAAGGCGACGAUCCGUAGCUGGUCUGAGAGGAUGAUCAGCCACACUGGGACUGAGACACGGCCCAGACUCCUACGGGAGGCAGCAGUGGGGAAUCUUGGACAA